CUCAGGAUGAACGCUAGCGGCAGGCUUAACACAUGCAAGUCGAGGGGUAACAUUGUGCUUGCACAGAUGACGACCGGCGCACGGGUGCGUAACGCGUAUAGAACCUACCUUUUACUGGAGAAUAGCCUUUAGAAAUGAAGAUUAAUGCUCCAUGGUAUUGAGUUUUGGCAUCAAGACUUAAUUAAAGAUUUAUUGGUAAAAGAUGGCUAUGCGUCCUAUUAGUUAGAUGGUAAGGUAACGGCUUACCAUGACUUUGAUAGGUAGGGGUCCUGAGAGGGAGAUCCCCCACACUGGUACUGAGACACGGACCAGACUCCUACGGGAGGCAGCAGUGAGGAAUAUUGGGCAAUGGAGGCAACUCUGACCCAGCCAUGCCGCGUGAAGGAUGACUGCCCUAUGGGUUGUAAACUUCUUUUAUACAGGAAGAAACACUGGUAUGUAUACCAGCUUGACGGUACUGUAAGAAUAAGGACCGGCUAACUCCGUGCCAGCAGCCGCGGUAAUACGGAGGGUCCGAGCGUUAUCCGGAAUCAUUGGGUUUAAAGGGUCCGCAGGCGGUCGAUUAAGUCAGAGGUGAAAUCCCAUAGCUCAACUAUGGAACUGCCUUUGAUACUGGUUGACUUGAGUCAUAUGGAAGUAGAUAGAAUGUGUAGUGUAGCGGUGAAAUGCAUAGAUAUUACACAGAAUACCGAUUGCGAAGGCAGUCUACUACGUAUGUACUGACGCUGAGGGACGAAAGCGUGGGGAGCGAACAGGAUUAGAUACCCUGGUAGUCCACGCCGUAAACGAUGGAUACUAGUUGUUGGGCAUUAGCUCAGUGACUAAGCGAAAGUGAUAA
rnacentral:rRNA from 1 species